AAGAUUUGAAGGGUGGUUCAGACGGGAGAGGCUGUAGCGAUUAUGUGCUUGUAACACUCAUAAGCGUAUAGCUUUUCCCCUUUGAACUGACUCUGCUGUUCA
rnacentral:pre_miRNA from 1 species